rnacentral:rRNA from 1 species
UACGUAGGGGGCAAGCGUUGUCCGGAUUUACUGGGCGUAAAGAGCGCGCAGGCGGUCGAUCAAGUCGAGUGUGAAAGCCCCCGGCUCAACUGGGGAGGGUCAUUCGAUACUGAUCGACUCGAAGGCAGGAGAGGCUACUGGAAUUCUCGGUGUAGCGGUGAAAUGCGUAGAUAUCGAGAGGAACACCUGCGGCGAAGGCGGGUUGCUGGGCCGACACUGACGCUGAUGCGCGAAAGCCAGGGGAGCGAACGGG